AAAUACACUGCUGCAAAUGCAUCG
rnacentral:miRNA from 1 species